GGAGUGUAGUAGUCCGUUUUUUGACGGGAAAAAUUUUGUUGUUGUUUCGAACGGAUGCUGGUAUGCCCAUUAAUCGGAGUCUUUUAGACGCUGCCAUUUCAGCCUGAUCUUUUCCUGCAAGGUCAAGGCUUUUAAGUCAGAGGAUGACAUUUAACGCAUCAUUUGGGGUGGUGCGAAAAGCUCCACUAAUGCAAAGGGUGGCAGAGUGAACUUUGCCCAGUUGUUUGGUGAGCGUGCUUUUUAUCCACAGAGUAGUAUUGCCAAUGGGCUUUUUCUUUGAUGUUCAGGUUCCAAUUAAGCUUCUGUCAGCUCGUUUAUUUUAUCAACAUAUAGCCUCAAAAUCGAGCAUCAGGUCCGUGUCAAACGAGUAGCCUUCUUUGGCUGGCUACAGCACACCGUCGGUUGCUUCGAUCCGUGCGGCAAAGUACUGGUCGACUGGGUUGUUGGCAGGACGCUUUUCGGCCGCUGCGUCUGAUUAGUACACCUUGCCUUGGUAAACUUUGGUGGCAAGUUUAACUUGCCUUUGGCAAUUCAAAACUUUGUUUUGAUCACUUUGCAUGAGAAAAAGAGUGACCAUUAAAGCUGCGUACCAGAAAUUUCCAUAGAUGGCCCCACAGUCGCAAAAUCAGCUGUGCAACCAACCUGUUUUUAUCGUAAAGCACUUGAAGUGAAGAAGUGUAAACAUUUUAAAUCUCUCAAAAAUUAAAAAACGCCAAGACCUCAUUAAAUUUUUUGAUGAAUCUUAA